AACAAGGUUUCCGUAGGUGAACCUGCGGAAGGAUCAUUAUUGAAUU
rnacentral:rRNA from 1 species